rnacentral:tRNA from 1 species
GGGUAUGUGGUGGUAAUGGUUAGCAUAUCACACUGUCAAUGUGAAGGUCAGAGUUCAAAUCUCUCAUACCCU